AUGAUUAAGAGCUUGCUCUUAUGAUUAGUGGCGCACGGGUGAGUAAUAUAUAGGUAAUGUGCCUCUUAGUCUGGGAUAGCCAUUGGAAACGAUGAUUAAUACUAGAUACUCCUUCUAACUAUAAAGUUAGUCGGGAAAGUUUUUUCGCUAAGAGAUCAGCCUAUAUCCCAUCAGUUAGUUGGUAGGGUAAUGGCCUACCAAGACAAUGACGGGUAGCGGGUUUGAGAGGAUGAUCCGCCACACUGGUACUGAGACACGGACCAGACUCC
rnacentral:rRNA from 2 species